rnacentral:tmRNA from 1 species
GGGGUUGUAACGGGUUCGACGGGGAUUUUGAAGCCCUGAUAGCCAUCCGCAGACCGUGUCUGCGUUAUCAAAACGGAAACUUAAAUAUAAACGCUAAACCUAACAAGUUUGCAUUUGCAGCCUAAGUGCUGCUCGUCGCCUGAUAGGGCGCUCACUACCUAUUUCGUCGGCGUCAUGAAUUGUGAGAAACUUUCAAUCUUAAGCUUUGCGGAUUGAUUGGAUUUAUGAAGCUAGUGGGAGUCUUAGCCUGCUGACCGGCAUGACUAUCACGAAAUAAUAAAGAUCAGCUGUGAUGGAAGAAGUCAGAGUGAAUAGGUUUUCGGACAGGGGUUCGACUCCCCUCAGCUCCAUGU